rnacentral:rRNA from 1 species
AGAGAGUUGAUCCUGGCUCAGGACGAACGCUGGCGGCGUGCCUAAUACAUGCAAGUCGAGCGCAGGAAAUCGACGGAACCCUUCGGGGGGAAGUCGACGGAAUGAGCGGCGGACGGGUGAGUAACGCGUAAAGAACCUGCCCUUAGGUACGGGUGAGUAACACGUAAAGAACCUGCCCUCAGGUCUGGGAUAACCACGAGAAAUCGGGGCUAAUACCGGAUGGGUCAUCGGACCGCAUGGUCCGAGGAUGAAAGGCGCUUCGGCGUCGCCUGGGGAUGGCUUUGCGGUGCAUUAGCUAGUUGGUGGGGUAAUGGCCCACCAAGGCGACGAUGCAUAGCCGACCUGAGAGGGUGAUCGGCCACACUGGGACUGAGACACGGCCCAGACUCCUACGGGAGGCAGCAGUAGGGAAUCUUCCACAAUGGACGAAAGUCUGAUGGAGCAACGCCGCGUGAACGAUGAAGGCCUUCGGGUCGUAAAGUUCUGUCAGUGGGGACGNNNNNNNCGGUAGCAGAUGAAUAAGGAUUGGCUAAUUCCGUGCCAGCAGCCGCGGUCAUACGGAAGAUCCAAGCGUUAUCCGGAAUUACUAGGCGUAAAGAGUUGCGUAGGNNNNNNNNNNNNNNNNNNNNNNNNNNNNNCGGCUCAACCGUCAGAUCUAUCGGGAAACUGCUAAGCUUGAGUAUGGGAGAGGUAGAUGGAAUUUCUAGUGUAGGAGUGAAAUCCGUAGAUAUUAGAAGGAACACCGAUGGCGUAGGCAGUCUACUGGCUCAUUGCUGACACUAAGGCACGAAAGCGUGGGGAGCGACUGGGAUUAGAUACCCCGGUAGUCCACGCCGUAAACGAUGGAUGCUAGCUGUUAGAAGUAUCGACCCUUCUAGUAGCGAAGCUAACGCGUUAAGCAUCCCGCCUGGGGAGUACGGUCGCAAGAUUAAAACUCAAAGGAAUUGACGGGGACCCGCACAAGCGGUGGAGUGUGUUGUUUAAUUCGACAAUAAGCGUAGAACCUUACCAAGGUUUGACAUCCUAGGAAUCUAUCCGAAAGGAAAGAGUGCCUUCGGGAACCUAGUGACAGGUGAUGCAUGGCCGUCGUCAGCUCGUGUCGUGAGAUGUUUGGUUAAGUCCAUUAACGAGCGCAACCCUUAUAGUUAGUUGAAUUUUUCUAGCUAGACUGCCUCGGCAACGGGGAGGAAGGAGGGGAUGAUGUCAGGUCUGUAUUACCCUUAUACCCUGGGCUACAAACACGCUACAAUGGCCGGUACAGAGGGCAGCUAAGUCGCGAGACGGAGCAAAUCCCAUCAAAACCGGUCUCAGUUCGGAUUGCAGGCUGAAACUCGCCUGCAUGAAGUCGGAAUCGCUAGUAAUCGCAGGUCAGCAUACUGCGGUGAAUACGUUCCCGGGUCUUGUACACACCGCCCGUCAAACCAUGAAAGUCGCCAAUACCUGACGUGUCAGUUUAUCUGGCCCUAAGGUAGGGGAGAUGAUUGGGGUUAAGUCGUAACAAGGUAACC